CCGUCGUGGGCGUAGGAAAUUUGAGAGGAGCUGUCCUUAGUACGAGAGGACCGGGAUGGACGCACCGCUGGUGUACCAGUUGUUCUGCCAAGGGCAUAGCUGGGUAGCUAUGUGCGGAAGGGAUAAGUGCUGAAAGCAUCUAAGCAUGAAGCCCCCCUCAAGAUGAGAUUUCCCAUAGCGUAAGCUAGUAAGAUCCCUGAAAGAUGAUCAGGUUGAUAGGUUCGAGGUGGAAGCAUGGUGACAUGUGGAGCUGACGAAUACUAAUAGAUCGAGGACUUAACCAU
rnacentral:rRNA from 1 species